GGGAAAUUGAAAAUGUAAUGCAUCUACACAAAACAAAAGAUUACUACAGUAUACAAGUGCUAAAUAUAAUUAGCUAUAGCCUACAUCUAUAUACAAUACUAUUUCCAAAAACUGGCCCAAAUAGCUAUAUAGUAUAUGUACUAUUUAAAGUGCGUGUGAAGAAUUUUAGAAAGGUUCAUUAAAAGUUGCUAGUAAAGCCUAUAUCCAUAAUUUUAACAAUUUAAUAAUUAUUUAAAAACACUAAUCAAGUUCAUCUCUUAUCUUGAUUUUACAAGCCAUCCGUUCAUCCUCUAUUUUUUAGCUUAUCGCAUUUCUUAUUGACGGUUUUUAGCUCCAGGAAACAUGUGGCUCACAUACG
rnacentral:lncRNA from 1 species